AACCUAUGGUCCACGCCGUAGGAUUGCCCAGCCUUCUGCAUGUGGAUCCGUGUACCAUUUGAAUUCAAAAAAGGAUCAAUUAAGGCCCAAACAGCCAGAGGCCUCGUUAGUCUCUUUGAUUCCAGCGAUUAGCUGGCACAGCCCUAGGCCUGCGGAGGCUAGUUUUUUUUCAUCGUAAUGAUGGAUGGCACACUUAUCUAAAAGCUUUAGCACUUGAGCCGAUGGAUGUUGGGCAGGACCAUGAAUAAAAAAAGCUAUCCUGUGCUCAUUCAUUUGUGGUACUGUUCAUCUUCCAGGCUGCUACAUAUAGCGGAUGAGGAGCCCAUUCUGCCAACAACUCCUUUGCUCGCAGCAUGAGAGCUCCAUCCGGCAUGGAUAGCGAAGAAGACACCUCUUUAGACCAUCAGCACAUGGCUGUUGAUCUCACUCCUGCCGGCAUGGAUACGCUCUCUAACAGAUCAAACAAAGGCAUCACCGAGCUAUCAGAUUGUUCUAAUCCUGGCUGUGGUGUUGUUGAUUCAAUCACAGCGAAUCCAGAGUUCUCAGAACUGCAUUCUGGAAGAUCGGCACCUAAGCGGAAAAGGUAGUACAUUUUGUUUUUUUACACUGGGAUUUUUUAACUAUUGUUAGAAGUAGUUUUUCUGUGGUGUACGAUGGUGAUAAUGGCAUAAUUUAUGAACUGUCAAGUGUCGUUUGUGUUGUUAAUUAGUCUUGUUCGAUAUUUACAGCGAGGUUUUCAAUAGUGUGAACCAUCAGCAAAACGUCAGGUUUUGUGUGUAAAUGACAGCUAGUUUUUUUAUUAGUACUAUUUUAGACUA